rnacentral:lncRNA from 1 species
AGGGUAGCAAAUCUUUUUUCUAGAUAGGACUCCCCAGCUUCUCUGUGCUUUUAAGUCUCUGAAGUUGUUUUCACAUUAUCAACAUAACAAACUCAUUGGCAGUGGGGAGUGGUUUAGAGUCUGGUUUCUUUGUUUCUAUUAUUUAAAGCAUAAGCAUUUUAUUAGUCUCAAUUCCAUUGUGAACUGCUGAAUUUUCAUCCCUAGUGUGAGAAGGUCACAAUAGUAUUUGUUUCAAUAGAUAACUCUUUCUCCCUGUGCUGUUUCUCACUGAGCUGUGGUGUUUAUGCCUUAAGUACCUGUGUUAUAUGCUACAUGUUGCUUUGAAUUCUGGUAUUUAUGCAUAUCUGUAUAUGUAAGUAUGUUAAUGUACACUGAUAUUUUGCUGUAUUUGCCAGUAUGUUUAUGUGAAAAUUUUGGUCUUGGAAAAUGGUGGGUGAUGUGUAGCUUGUUAUUUGGGUGUGUGUAUUUAUUUGUAUAUAUUUAUGUAUUUACCUUCGUAUUGUUUGGAGGUGUGCUUAUGUCAGUGAACGAGAGUACAAUUUGAUGCAUGUAUGUUCAGUCCCUAUUUGUAUUUAAAAAUAACUCACGUUGAUGAAGUUAUUUUUUAAAGUUAAUUUUUUUGGCAUUUACAGUCGGUGCUCUGUAUCCAUAGGUUCUGCUUCUGCAGAUUCAGCCAACCAUAUAUCAAAAAUAUUUGAGAAAAAAUAAUAUAAAAAAAUACAAAUUAAAAACCAAUACUAUAUAACAACUAUUUGGAUAGCAUUUACAUUGUAGGUAUUAUAAAUAAUUUAGAGGUGAUUUAAAGUAUUUGGGAGAAUCUGUAGGUUAUAUGCAAAUACCAUGCCAUUUUAUAAAAGUGACAUGAACAUCCAAGGAUUUUGGUAUCCAUGAGGGUUCCUGGAACCAAUCCCCCAAAGAUACCAAAGGAAGACUGUAUUUUAAAAUAAAGCUACUUCUUUACCUUUUUGUCAACUAUUGCCUUGGGUUUACUUAUUUAGGAAUGCACUUCUGCAGAAAGUUUACCAAUGUGUUAUUGAUCUCGAGAUUGUAUUAAAAUAAAAGAUUUAUUUAUUGUUUUCCUUUAUUUAGUGAGUAUUUCUGACU